rnacentral:rRNA from 1 species
GGGCCCGCACAAGUGGUGGAGCAUGUGGCUUAAUUCGAUGCAACGCGAAGAACCUUACCUAGGCUUGACUCGCAUCGGACGACUUACGAAAGUAAGUUUCUCUUCGGAGCCGAUGCACAGGUGCUGCAUGGCUGUCGUCAGCUCGUGUCGUGAGAUGUUCGGUUAAGUCCGGCAACGAGCGCAACCCUCGCCCUUAAUUACCAGCAAGUUAAGUUGGGGACUUUAAGGGGACAAACUUUUUAAAGUGGGAAGGUGGGGAUGAUGUCAAGUCAGCAUGGCCCUUACGUCUAGGGCUGCACACGUGCUACAAUGCCCAGUACAAUGAGAUGCAAUAUCGAGAGGUGGAGCAAAUCUAUAAAGCUGGGCCCAGUUCGGAUUGAAGUCUGCAACUCGACUUCAUGAAGUUGGAAUCGCUAGUAAUGGCGCAUCAGCUACGGCG